UCGACUUUCCAAUAUAUAUAUAUAUAAUAAACCUUUUUAUUAAAACUGUUUUUUGUUGUCACAAUAUUUUAAUGUAUACAAUAUACAUAUACCUAUCGUCAAUUUAUAGAUCUAGCAACAUUGACAAAUCAAUUAAAUCAUAUAACGGUUUUGAACUAAUUUGACUUUGAUUUUAUUAAAUUAUAAUUACAACGGCAGCUGACACUUACACCACUGCUCCUACAUAAAUAAUAAAGACUUUAAAAUUAUUAUUACUACAGACUAUCAAAUAGUCGUUAAUUUGUAAAUCUAGCAACAUUGACAAAUCAAAUAAACCAUAUAUCGGUUUUAAACCAAUUUGAAUUUGAUGUUAUUAUUUCAUUAAAAUCGCUCUAUAAUGUGCUCAUUAAACUCUAUACGACAAAGUUCUCUUUUUGCCUCUGUCUGCAUUUCGUUUUCAAGCAUAGACAAUGUGUGGGUAAUAUGUGUAUAAAAGAAAAUAAAUACUGAUGACGUAAGCACCAAAUAAGAAAAUCGAAGCUUCAUGGAUGAAAGUUUCAUUUUUUUUGGAACAGGGUGCCAACUGGUAGAAGGCUCACCUGAUGUUAAAUGAUAUGUCACCAUGGUCACUCAUAAUGCUAGAGGGCUCGCUAUUGCGUUGCCGGCCUUUUAAGAAUUGGCACGCUUUUUUAUGAAGGAAAGAAGAGCUUUUCUUUUCUCAAGCCACUAGGCCAACACUACUCAAUAGUCAUAUAAUUUAAUAAUUGUGUUUAUGUUUUUUAGUGCAAUUCUACAAGAAACAGAAUGGAACAAAAAUUAUAUUAUACAAGGGUUAUACAUUCAGCAAAGAAAGAUCACUUUCAGUUCAUAAAGUAAGUUCAAAUGAUCAAGACUGCAAGAGGUUCAACACUGCUGAUGUUCAAUAACUACACGUUCUACAAACGACAAACUUUAAAAUCUAGUGUAGUGUACGGCUGCACUAAUAACAGAAAGUGCAACGCACAACUAACACUUGAUAGGGAAGAGAAUCACAUUUUACGAUUUACAGAAAAUCAUACCCACCCAUAUCCCAAAUAUUUUAUAAGCAAAUCUGGUGUUUUCCAUAAGAUGUGACGAAUUGUUACAGUUAUUGAAUUUCAAUAUAUUCCUUUUGCUUUAAA